rnacentral:lncRNA from 1 species
AUUAUUUUUUUUUCUUUUUCUAGGUAAGACAAUUGGCAAUAAUGAUACAUUUCUAGAUGAAUGUUGAAUUCAAAAUAUCUGGAACGUGACAAACAGCAGAAGUUACAUCACUGGUUAAAAACAGGAGGAUUUAUAACAAAAUGAUGACCGAAAUAUUCGGAAUAUACAUUGAAAUAUACUACACAUGGACAUUCCUUUAUGAAGUUCCACAUUCUUUUUUAAUUGAAUUUUUCCAAAUACCGUAACGUUACUAUCCUCGUCACCAAAAUCACAAUGGAUCAGUUCGAUUUGAAAUUCAAACAAUUUGACGUCAACGCCAAAUAUUUUGGCUUGCAAAACAUAUUUAUUUUUAUUUUUAUUGUUUGUGUAUGCCUAUCAUAAUAAAAAACGUUCGAUUAAAAGAAUAAAUGUA